AUCAGCUUGUUGGUGAGGUAAUGGCUCACCAAGGCGUCGACGGGUAGCCGGCCUGAGAGGGUGACCGGCCACACUGGGACUGAGACACGGCCCAGACUCCUACGGGAGGCAGCAGUGGGGAAUAUUGCACAAUGGGCGGAAGCCUGAUGCAGCAACGCCGCGUGAGGGAUGACGGCCUUCGGGUUGUAAACCUCUUUUAGCAAGGAAGAAGCGAAAGUGACGGUACUUGCAGAAAAAGCGCCGGCUAACUACGUGCCAGCAGCCGCGGUAAUACGUAGGGCGCAAGCGUUAUCCGGAAUUAUUGGGCGUAAAGAGCUCGUAGGCGGUCUGUCGCGUCUGCUGUGAAAACCCGAGGCUCAACCUCGGGCCUGCAGUGGGUACGGGCAGACUAGAGUGCGGUAGGGGAGAUUGGAAUUCCUGGUGUAGCGGUGGAAUGCGCAGAUAUCAGGAGGAACACCGAUGGCGAAGGCAGAUCUCUGGGCCGUAACUGACGCUGAGGAGCGAAAGGGUGGGGAGCAAACAGGCUUAGAUACCCUGGUAGUCCACCCCGUAAACGUUGGGAACUAGUUGUGGGGUCCUUUCCACGGAUUCCGUGACGCAGCUAACGCAUUAAGUUCCCCGCCUGGGGAGUACGGCCGCAAGGCUAAAACUCAAAGGAAUUGACGGGGACCCGCACAAGCGGCGGAGCAUGCGGAUUAAUUCGAUGCAACGCGAAGAACCUUACCAAGGCUUGACAUACACGAGAACGCUGCAGAAAUGUAGAACUCUUUGGACACUCGUGAACAGGUGGUGCAUGGUUGUCGUCAGCUCGUGUCGUGAGAUGUUGGGUUAAGUCCCGCAACGAGCGCAACCCUCGUUUUAUGUUGCCAGCACGUAAUGGUGGGAACUCAUGGGAUACUGCCGGGGUCAACUCGGAGGAAGGUGGGGAGGACGUCAAAUCAUCAUGCCCCCUAUGUCUUGGGCUUCACGCAUGCUACAAUGGCCGGUACAAAGGGCUGCAAUACCGCGAGGUGGAGCGAAUCCCAAAAAGCCGGUCCCAGUUCGGAUUGAGGUCUGCAACUCGACCUCAUGAAGUCGGAGUCGCUAGUAAUCGCAGAUCAGCAACGCUGCGGUGAAUACGUUCCCGGGUCUUGUACACACCGCCCGU
rnacentral:rRNA from 1 species